rnacentral:misc_RNA from 1 species
UUUGGUUCGGUUUUUCAGUUUAAAUAAAAAACUGCACGCCCCUAAUACUAGGUACAAUGGGAAAACAAAAAAUAAAUCUUUCUAAGAGUUGGAAAGCUCCUAAAUUGAUUCUACACUGAUUUCCACCUAACAAAACUGGAAGUCCUAAGUGAAAUAGGACCGUUGGAGAAGUCUUUGGACCAAAAAACCCUUCUGCCCGCUGCUGGACAGAAGAACACACACAUUAGGCAUGUUUGUGGGUCCUCGUACAUGCCCCAGUGUGUACUAUUCUGUCGUGACAUUCUUCUUUUGUUUUUGGACCCAACAGCACUGCGUCACCUGCCCUGAUUGAGUCUUCUAUUCAAAAAAACAAGUAAAUUCUUUUCAUCUUACCUUCCAUCAAACAUAGAAACACUUACAAAAACAACUAUACAUUUAAACAAGUGAAUGCUGAUUAUGUAGACAUCAAUUGAAG